GUCAGGACGAACGCUGCGGCGUGCCUAACACAUGCAAGUCGACGGAACUCGGGACUUCGGUUCUGAGUUUAGUGGCGAACGGGUGAGUAACGCGUGAGGAACCUGCCUUUCGAGUGGGGACAACAGUUGGAAACGACUGCUAAUACCGCAUAAUGUGUUUUGGGGGCAUCCCCGAGACACCAAAGCUUUAUGUGCUGAAAGAUGGCCUCGCGUCUGAUUAGAUAGUUGGUGAGGUAACGGCUCACCAAGUCUGCGAUCAGUAGCCGGUCUGAGAGGAUGAACGGCCACAUUGGGACUGAGAUACGGCCCAGACUCCUACGGGAGGCAGCAGUGGGGAAUAUUGGGCAAUGGGGGAAACCCUGACCCAGCAACGCCGCGUGAAGGAAGAAGGCCUUCGGGUUGUAAACUUCUUUUAGCAGGGACGAAGAACGUGACGGUACCUGCAGAAAAAGCAACGGCUAACUACGUG
rnacentral:rRNA from 1 species